rnacentral:lncRNA from 1 species
ACUGGGCGCCCCGUCACGAAGAAAAAAAUAAUUAUAUUUUGCAAAACCAUUGCCUUGAUCAACACAAAAUAGGUGUUAUUUGAAAGCUUAGAGUCUGAACUUUACAAUGCACGUGGCCACUUUGAUUAACUCCUAAGUAGUGCUGAGUUAUUUGCUGAUAAACCAAAUGUUUUCAUGAUUAACCAAAUGUUGAUAAACCAAAUGUUUUCAAAAUAAUUUUUUGUGCCAUAUACUUUAAUAGGUCAAAAAUAUCAUACAGCUCAGAUAGCCAUGUGUCAUAUGACAUUUGAAAGGUCUCAAAGAGUAGAAUAAAACAAGCAAGGUUUGACUUAAUUUAAGCAAGACAUUUCUUCUGUGUUUGUCACUCAGAAAACGUCUCAGGUUACGAAUGUAACCAUGGUUCCCUGAGUAGGGAACGAGACACUGCAUCCUCUAGGGGUCGCUAUGGGGAACACCUCGUCGUGACCCGUGUCUGAAGCAUACAAUGAAAAAACACCAACGAGUUGGCCGGCGACAGCCUCUGACGUCACUACCGGUGCGACUAUAAAACAGGCACCGGGAAAACACGUCAUUCACUUCUUCGUCUGAAGCUUGCGUCCGAAGCAUGGCAGGGAGCUAGAGGACGCAGUGUCUCGUUCCCUACUCAGGGAACCAUGGUUACAUUCGUAACCUGAGACGUUUUCUUUCAAGGGAACUUCGAACUGCGUCCUCUAGGGGUCGCUAUGGGGAACAGUAUACCCACGCCGCCAUGCUGAGGGGAGUGCAGGCCAGAAUCAUGGCGAACACUAAGUACCAACUCUACCAUUUCAAUGGGAGUUGCCCCCGGGACGUUUAGGCUGUCUGUGACAAUACCCCUUACGGCCAAAGGCCUAAGCUACAUACCCAACUUAAUUGUUAGGGCCUCGGCCCGGUGGUAGGAGCUAAAGGCUUGGAAUCAGGAAAGAUUCCUUUAAAGGGAUACGGCUAGGAACCUAGCAUUUUAUACUAAGUCUUGCCUGUCACACAGGGGCUACAGCUUGCUUCCGCAAAAGCUUGCUGAAGGAGCUGUCUCAACAGAUCUGCAGUAGCAACACCCUGUUUAGAUAGGUAUCCGAGGAUACAUGGGUGGAGUGGUGCCCAAGAUGAACGGGGCUUUUACCAACUCAAGAAAGGGCACGAAGCAACCGCGCGAAGCCCUCAC